CUCCCCAUCCCAUACCAGUGCCUGCCGUCGGGUGAUCUAACUGCAAGCAAAAGGCAGCAGGGAAUGUUUGAAGAUUUCUGUGGCCAGUCUCCUAGGAAUGUGAGCACUGUGAGGAAAGCUGGAACAUGGAUCUGGAGGGACAAACGGAGAACGUCCGGGACAGGAAGAGUAGUGGGAAACGAGUCAGAGAGAGAGGAAAUGUGCGCUGAGUGCCUCUCCAUGGAAGCCUGAGGGGAACCCAGCAGGGCGCAGAGCAAGCAACAUCCCUGCCCUCUACUGGCUGGAUGAGGGAGGACGAUGAGAUGCGGUAAGGGGAAAAGAGA
rnacentral:lncRNA from 10 species